rnacentral:rRNA from 1 species
GAUGAACGCUAGCGGCAGGCUUAACACAUGCAAGUCGAGGGGUAUAGGGAGCUUGCUUCCUAGAGACCGGCGCACGGGUGCGUAACGCGUAUGCAAUCUACCUUUUGCAGAGGGAUAGCCCAGAGAAAUUUGGAUUAAUACCUCAUAGUAUAGCAGUUUCGCAUGAAACCACUAUUAAAGUCACAACGGCAAAAGAUGAGCAUGCGUCCCAUUAGCUUGUUGGUAAGGUAACGGCUUACCAAGGCAACGAUGGGUAGGGGUCCUGAGAGGGAGAUCCCCCACACUGGUACUGAGACACGGACCAGACUCCUACGGGAGGCAGCAGUGAGGAAUAUUGGACAAUGGGCGCAAGCCUGAUCCAGCCAUGCCGCGUGCAGGAUGACGGUCCUANGGUAUUGUAAACUGC